rnacentral:rRNA from 1 species
AUUGAACGCUGGCGGCAUGCCUUACACAUGCAAGUCGAACGGUAACAGGUCUUCGGAUGCUGACGAGUGGCGAACGGGUGAGUAAUACAUCGGAACGUGCCUAGUAGUGGGGGAUAACUACUCGAAAGAGUGGCUAAUACCGCAUGAGAUCUACGGAUGAAAGCAGGGGAUCGCAAGACCUUGUGCUACUAGAGCGGCCGAUGGCAGAUUAGGGAGUUGGUGGGAUAAAAGCUUACCAAGCCGACGAUCUGUAGCUGGUCUGAGGGGACGAUCAGCCACACUGGGACUGCGACACUGCCCAGACUCCUACGGGAGGCAGCAGUGGGGAAUUUUGGACAAUGGGCGACAGCGUGAUCCAGCAAUGCCGCGUGCAGGAUGAAGGCCUUCGGGUUGUAAACUGCUUUUGUACGGAACGAAAAGCCCCGGGUUAAUACCCUGGGGUCAUGACGGUACCGUAAGAAUAAGCACCGGCUAACUACGUGCCAGCAGCCGCAGUAA